rnacentral:SRP_RNA from 1 species
UGGUCAGGUUUACUCGACUUGAAUUUACCCAACUCCGUCAGGUCCGAGAGGAAGCAGCGGUCAGUAAAUUUCUCGUGUGAGUAUUCCCUGACCUUUU